CGUACACUCCUACGGGAGGCAGCAGUGGGGAAUAUUGGACAAUGGGCGCAAGCCUGAUCCAGCCAUGCCGCGUGAGUGAUGAAGGCCCUAGGGUUGUAAAGCUCUUUCACCGGUGAAGAUAAUGACGGUAACCGGAGAAGAAGCCCCGGCUAACUUCGUGCCAGCAGCCGCGGUAAUACGAAGGGGGCUAGCGUUGUUCGGAUUUACUGGGCGUAAAGCGCACGUAGGCGGACUAUUAAGUCAGGGGUGAAAUCCCGGGGCUCAACCCCGGAACUGCCUUUGAUACUGGUAGUCUUGAGUUCGAGAGAGGUGAGUGGAAUUCCGAGUGUAGAGGUGAAAUUCGUAGAUAUUCGGAGGAACACCAGUGGCGAAGGCGGCUCACUGGCUCGAUACUGACGCUGAGGUGCGAAAGCGUGGGGAGCAAACAGGAUUAGAUACCCCUGUAGUCCCAUGAU
rnacentral:rRNA from 1 species